rnacentral:ncRNA from 1 species
UUGAGCUGCAUGCGGGGAAACUCGCACGUGCAGUUCUUAGGGGGGCGCGGCCUGGAA